rnacentral:rRNA from 1 species
AGAAUAAGGGCNGGGCAAGACCGGUGCCAGCCGCCGCGGUAAUACCGGCAGCCCGAGUGAUAGCCACUCUUAUUGGGCCUAAAGCGUCCGUAGCUGGCCGAACGGGUCCGUCGGGAAAUCCACCCGCUUAACGGGUGGGCGUCCGGCGGAAACCAGUCGGCUUGGGACCGGAGGACCUGCGGGGUACGUCUGGGGUAGGAGUGAAAUCCUGUAAUCCCAGACGGACCACCGGUGGCGAAAGCGCCGCAGGAGGACGGAUCCGACAGUGAGGGACGAAAGCUUGGGUCUCGAACCGGAUUAGAUACCCGGGUAGUCCAAGCCGUAAACGAUGCUCGCUAGGUGUGGCGCAGGCUACGAGCCUGCGCUGUGCCGUAGGGAANCCGANAAGCGAGCCGCCUGGGAAGUACGUCCGCANGGAUGAAACUU